CCCGGCAGUGAACUGCCGGGCUAUUGUCGUUUGUCCCCACGGGACA
rfam:Desulfobacteraceae bacterium 4572_88 ex4572_88_scaffold_15893, whole genome shotgun sequence.